GCACGUUUUCCCUGUUCUCCACCGGGCUCACUCGCUCAAACCCCUCUGAGACCACCUUGUCCACAAUCAUGCCAGAAUCUCCCUAUUGCUCUGCGGUCUUGCACUUCAGAGCUGUAGAUAUGCUCUGUAGUCUAAAGCUCUUGAGCAAUUGAGCUUUUGACUUGUAGUGGAGAUAAGUUUUAGUCAUAUCGAAUAUCCACUGUAAAUCCAUAUGGCUUAGAUAACUUCCGUUUUUCUGUUUGCCGCUCGAGAUAACCCGCUCCCUCCUUCGACCUGCAACGGUAACAAAGGAUCAUCAGGCAUUUCGAUAGAAAGUCUCCAGGAUAUUCUUCUCCAAGAUCGAGACGCGUCCCCAGACAUAUACACAUUAACAGAAUGCCCGAACAGGAAAUUGCUCGGUGGCUGUCAUCUGGUCGAUGCAGGGCCUCAGACCACGGUGGUUUUCAAACCAUUACACAGCGCCUGAUAGAAAGAUUUCAGACGUAAUAACGCCGUACGACGCCCGUAGACUCCUAAGCGCCGAAGAUUUCCGGUAAUUAGAGAAAUAGCGUCCGGAAGAGUUUCAAGCAAAAUCUUUUCAAACAGUUAUCGGUGUCCAGAUGGAAACAACUGGCGUUCGCCCGUCGGUAGAAAUAGGCCAGGAAGAACGUUUGGGACUGCAACGGCGGAUAAUUUAAGGCCAAAUAUAUAGGCAGAAAUGCAAAUGAAAGGAAACAGGA
rnacentral:sRNA from 2 species